AAUAGCUACCAACGCUUGCCGUGGACAGAAACUACAGCUGAAAUUCUCUCAUAGAAGCCUGAGAAUGAUGGCCUCAUAUGUAUAGCUGAACUUUUACUGAAGCACUGAGCUCUGAUGAAUGCAAUUAAGUGAGUAAAGACCAGACUCCAUUACAAAACUGGGGAUAGGAAGAGCAAUAUAUGGACAAAAGAAUGAAAGAAAAGCAGUCACUGAGGGAAAAGAAAAUCGGAGAGAGAGAAACAGGAUGCGAGUGGAGAGGGGCAGGAAUAGAGGAACAU